GAUGGCUGUCCUGCACUGUACUACAGGUGGGCUGGGAGGGAGAGAGUAAGCUGGCUACGCUGGCUACUCAGGAGGAUGGAGUGAGGUGGCCAGAGUCAGUCUGCUACAGCAGCACCACAUCAUCCAUCAUUGUGGGACAGAAGUGGGACGACACCAUUUUGGUGUUCAGAGUGGAAUAGUGUGUACAUUUGCUGCUGGGUCGGGACAACGAUGCUGAGGAUGUGGGGGACAAGCAUGACGCAGAAGGUGAGCACCAGCAUUGAUAUCCAGUUGGCCAAGCAACAGCACCAGUCUGGCCUGCAGGAGCCCAAUACAGAACCAUCCUUUCCCUCCCCUGAUCCCUAGCUCCUCCCACUGGACCUCCGGCCUCAAAGGGUCAGCAUCGUUACACAAGUCUGUGCAAUAAAUCCUCAGCACGUCAAGUUUUCAUGCGCUGUUAUGAACAACCGAAAUAUCCGUGUCGAGAUUUCCCCAAGCAAGCCCGAGUAGUUUUGUUUAGCUCUAGUGCCCGAGUGGGAUGAGUGUUACAGAAGCGAGACGUUAUAGCAGUACAUAUGGUAACGCUAACAGUUAACGCAAACAGUUAGUUCCUGCUGUGGACAUCACGAAGAAUCUCACGAAGAAUUAAACGUUGAAUAAUUUGUUUAAUUCUUUAUAAGACAGCUAUAUAUUCAGCAAGGAACGAGAGAAAAAAAGGAACAAUUGAAAUGAUUCAUUCAGAAGUAUAUCUGCUGUAGAUAGUUAGGACAGUAGUAGCGUUACAGACUGUCCUCAGCGCACAAUAUAUUCAUGUGGUGCACCACAGACGCAAAUUCCCCCAUUAUUGAAAACAAGUUGCUAAAAGUAAACACGUCCGGUUAUGUACUCCGAGCCCAAAGGGCAUUGCAUUGAAUUGGGACUAAAGAAGGCUAAAAAACAUGACACCAGUUUUGUUGUAUGCUCCAGUACACCAUUCGACUCUCAGCCCGAAGUUAAUCAGAACUCAAACUCGGCCCUUAACAAUAUCCGCGAGGCCAGCAUAUCAGCUCAGCUUCUGAGCUUCAGCAACUGCUAAGCUCAGAAGACCAAGGAGUAGUGAAAGGCUCAGCCAAAUCAAAGUCCAGCGAUGUGAGGGUGAGACAGCCUUCCCAUGUCCUCGUAUUGCAACAUGAAGGACAUUUUAGCUGAAACUAACAAGGGAGAGAACUGUAGAUCUGCACCAGCACAGAGCACCAGCAUUGAUAUCGAGUUGGCCCAGCAACCGCACGAGUCCCGCCUGCAGGAGCCCCAGUCCAGAACAACCCUUCCCCUCCUCUGACUUCUAACUCCUUCCCCUUGACCUCCUGACUGAAAAAGUCAGCAUCGUUGAACAACUCCGUUCUGCAGGAAAUUCUGAGCAUGAUUCUGGUCAAACGUCGAGUUGUCCACACAUAAGCCUGGGUAGUUUUGUUAAGCUAGAGUUCCGCGUGGGCCUGAGAGGGACGAGUUUUACAGACACGAAAAGUUAUAGCAGUAGUUAUGGUAACGCUAGCAGUCAGUUGUUGCUGUUGGACAUCACAACAAAUAUCCUGAAGAACAAAAAGUUCAAUAACUUGUUCCAAUCUUUAUGGGACAAACAGAAAUUGAACGGGAGAAAAUCAAGGAACAAUAAAAGCUUAAGCUUUCCUAGUGGGAUGCUUGUGCUGUUGAUAGUUUAGAUGACAGUAGGGUUACGGACUGCCCCAGAUUGUCCAUUCAGCGGCCAAAAUAUCAUAAUAGAACGGACUUUUGGCAAUAUUACCGACAAAGAAAAGCAGUAAUGACUUGGUUGUGAAUACCCAGAGCACGAUACAUCCAUGCUGACACAAAAAGGCAGUAAUGACUUAGUGGUGAAAACCUAGAGCACGCUACAUCCUUGCUGACAAAGAAAUGCAGUAAUGACUUGGUUGUGAAUACCCAGAGCAUGCUACAUCCAUGCUGACACAGAAAGGCAGUAAUGACUAUGCUGUGAACACCCAGAGCAUGCUACAUCCAUGCUGACACAGAAAGGCAGUAAUGACUAUGCUGUGAACACCCAGAGCAUGCUACAUCCAUGCGGAAACAGAAAGGCAGUCACGACUAUGCUGUGAACACCCAGAGCACAAUAUAUCCAUGCUGACACAGAAAGGCAGUAAUGACUAUGCAGUGAACACCCAGAGCAAGAUAUAUCCAUGCUGACACAGAAAAGCAGUAAUGACUAUGCUGUGAACACCCAGAGCACAAUACAUCAUUUGCUGACACAGAAAGGCAGUAAUGACUUGGCUCUGAACACAGAGCACAAUACAUCCAUGCUGACAAAGAAAGGCAGUAAUGACUUGGCUGUGAACACAGAGCAACAUACAUCCGUGCUGACACAGAAAGGCAGUAAUGACUUGGCUGUGAACACAGAGCUUAAUAUAUCCAUGCUGACACAGAAAGGCAGUAAUGACUUGACUGUGAACACAGAGCACAAUACAUCCAUGCUGACACAGAAAGGCAAUUAUGACUUGGUUGUGAACACAGAGCGCAAUACAUCCUUGUUGACACAGAAAAGCAGUAAUGACUUUGCUGUGAACUCAGAGCACGAUACAUCCAUGCUGACACAGAGAGGCAGUAAUGACUUGGAUGUAAACACCCAGAGCACAAUACAUCCAUACUGACACAGAAAGACAGUAAAGACUUGGUUGUAAACACCCAGAGCACAAUACAUCCAUGAUGACACAGAAAGGCAGUAAAGACCUUGUUGUAAACACUAAGAGAUCCAUACAUACAUGGGGUGUGCCACAGCCGCAAAUUACGCCCACUAUUGUGAACAAGGUGCUUAAAGUGAACAUGUCUGGGUUUGGUAUGAGGACUUAGCACUCCAAGCCCAGAAGGCCUCGCAUUGAAUUGAUGCAAGAGAAGGCUUUAAAAAAUAUUAGCAGUUUUGUUGUGUGGUCCAGUACGCCCUUCGACUCUCAACCUGAAGAAAGCAGAACUCAAACUCGGCUCUUAGCAAUAUCAGCAAGGCCAGCAUGUCAUCUCCGCUUCUUGAGCUUCAGUGAACUUUACUAGCAAACAUGACAAACGUCAUUGAAAUGAAAGUCGAUGACAACCCCCUUCUUGCACAAAUACUACAACUUGCUUAAGAAAAUCAGCAUGAAGACGUCUUGCGUCAGACUACCAAGCCUCCUAUCAAUAUAUCCUCCCAUGUUGGCUACAUCAACACUUCCAACAGCAGAGCCUUGGUGAGUUUGACUUCCGUCUCAGCAUCCAUGUCGCUUAGCAACAAUUGAAUGAUGGGCGUCGACAAAUUAGGCCGGACAAGUCGCUCGAACUGAAACGAUCUGAUCCAACAGGUAGAGCAGGCGUUGCAUGACACGUCCGUUAAUGUGACUGACCUCGAUAUGUUGUUCUCGAAUAAUGUGAACCUUAGGCCUGGAGAGCAGUAUGCGAUUGACGCCAUUCAACAACAGUUGUUGUCAGCAAUUCUCAGGUUUGGGGUGGCGACUUCAGCGUCAGGGCUUGCUCCAUCUCUGUCUAUGGCCCAGUCCCAGCAGCAGCAGCAACAAGAACAAUAAGUAGUAUCUGAGCAGUGUUCUGGGAUAUGGGGCUUCAUGUAUGUGCUUAAAUUGUCAUCCCAGAAUAGCCUGUGCAGACUGCACAUACAUUAAGUCCUAUUAAAUUGUCAUCCCAGAUUAGCCUGUGCAGACUGCACAUACAUUAAGUCCUAUUAAAGUGUCAUUUCAGAUUAGCCUGUGCAGACUGCACCUACAUUAAGUCCUAUUAAAGUGUCAUCCCAGAUUAGCCUGUGCAGAUUGCACAUGUAUUAAGUCCUAUUAAAGUGUCAUCCCAGAUUAGCCUGUGCAGACUGCACAUACAUUAAGUCCUAUUAAAGUGUCAUCCCAGAUUAGCCUGUGCAGAUUGCACAUACAUUAAGCCCUAUGUUCCCAGAAUGAGGCUCAUAUAGUUCACUUAACAUCAGUAUUUGUUCUGCCUGAUUGAGAAAAAGGUCCAAGCAUCAAAUGUUCCUGAAUUUUGUUUUAAGAGGAGGUUCCUACAGGAUCCCAUGCAGUCAUAGAUCGGUACCCAGCUGAACAACAGGCUGUCUGGUAAGCUGGGCCCGGAUAGGUGCAGCCAGUCUAAAGCUGGGGCUCCAAACUUUCCUGCCAAGUGGGCUGAUAUUACCUCUUCUACAAGGGACAUAUGUCAGUGAUGCGCAAAGAGCUGGUUUUCUGUUCACAGAGAAAUAUCCUAACAACUCCAACUCAGCCACUACAUCUCAAUAGACAACCCGAAUAUCAAGGCGUUAAGUUUGUUCUGGAUGCAGUUACAGUCACAGCUUUCAAGCCAGCAGCUGUCGAUGUGCUGAGAUUCUCUCCUCUCCAUGUUAUCUGACCUGCUGCCUGUGAACAUCCUGCACAUAGAACCUUUAUCCCAAUCGAUGUAAUUAAACCGGCCAAUCAAAAAGAUAGCCUGGUACAGCACUUGUCAUUAGAUUGACGCCAUGCAUACCUUUGAAGAUCAUUUAUACAUACAAUUUAAGCAUGAUAGUCAAUAAGUGCCUGCGUUGGCUUCUUAAAAAACUCGCAGUCCUGAGCAUUUACGAUGGAAUUCCUCCUCUUGAAAUAUUGGGAAGGCAGGAAAACACCUGACAAUAUUUAACUUAUUUAUUGUAUAAACAAGACAUGCUUAUUUUUAGUUUUUACCUAUAAAAUAGCAAUAUGUGCUAGGUAAAAUAAUUGAUCAGAACGGUUCAUAAUUGUGAUGCUUCUAUUUUGAUAUGUCUGUCAUUCUGUCUGUGUUCAUAUUUCUCAUCGGUUUGCUCUUUUGAGGCAGUAUUUAGUUGAGAAUUUCAUGUAGUGAUGUAAUACUAAAAUAUCAAAUAAUAAUUUGAUUUAUUCAAACUAUAUUUACCUUCUGUUAAUUAUUGAUUUAUUUAUUGACAACAGACACUUUGUUUAAUAUUAACAACAGUUAAGCGCGUUAUAAAAAUUGUGUGAAUGUACAUGUGAAUUGCGAUAAUUGAUGCACACAUUAAUUGAAAAACUAUUUAAAUAAAGUGGAAUUUAGAAGUGCAUCAUAAUUGUAAUGGAGUUUAUUUAAUUAUUAAAAAAGGAUGCUUUCAUUGUUGAAAAUAUGAUAGUAAUUCAUCCACAAUUAAUUUUGUUUCAAAGUGAGUAUUUUCAUGAAUAAUGUUCCUAGAUAUGGUUGUAGAUUGUUCUUGUUGUAUCAUAUACUGACAUGCUCAUUAUUUAUGUUGACAUUUGCAUUCUAGCAUUAAAAGUUCAUUAUGCUUUGAAUAUUUGUAUGUACACAUUUGCGACCAGCUUUUCUAAUGUAAUAAGUGAAUAACGUUACACAGAUUUAUGUGUCACUGUUUAUAAGUUUAUUUUGUCGUUUGUAAAUAGAUCAACUGCAAAGCUAAUGUUUUUGUUUGUACAUUAUUCAUAAAAUGUUGCCAUUUCAAACAGAUACAUUCACUGUAUGAAUUCAUUUGUACAAAAUUGUUACAUAUUAAACAUCAUUUACAUAUCAGGCAAUAGAGAAAAAGAAUUGCUUUGGAUGAAUGCGCACAUUAACCUGUAUAGUUAAUUAAGAUAUGCAUAAUAUCAGAUCAUUAACAUAAUAAUAUACUUUAAGCAUUAGAAACACCUUGUUUUAUGUCAAGCUUUUCAGUUAUUAUAAUAAGCAACUAUUAUCUGGAAAUUUGGAAAACAGUAAAGAACGAUUCAAGGGAGAGCAAUUGUGAUAUACUAAAUAAAAGUCGUCUCCCUUGUUAGAGUAUAAUUGUACCUCUCAACGUAACAAGAACAUUGAAUCUUUUUUUUUAUUAUUCCACACUAUAAACUAUAUACUAUAUGCAUUCAAUAAUCACUAAAGAAAUAUGGUUUGCAUAAUUGUUUAUUUCUAUGCGUUAUACCAAAUUUACCAGUAUGGCAUCAAUUUAAGUUCAUCAUAUUUUAAUUGCCAAAAUUGGCCAUACAGUGCUAAAAGUUUGGUAUUCUGAAUAUUAUAAGUGCAUGUUCUCAUACAAAUUCACAUUGUAUAUUUUAACACUGAAGCAAUAUGUGUUAAUAUAUUAAUUUUUAUUUAUUGACUUGUUGUUGCUUGUUAAGGUGUCUAAUUUUGAAUUAUAGCUGUUAAUUGAUUGUGACUAUUUUCCAGUUUUGAAUUAUUGCUUUUAGUUGAUUGUUUACAAGUUUGUAAAAGCUGUUUUCAUGUUGACUGCUCCACAUUAGAUGUCAUUGACGCGCAUUCACUGCGGCCAGGUUCCGUAAAACUCCCAACUCAUCUGAUGUCUUAGUAUAAGAUUCCAUACAUACGUUGUUGUUUAUAUCAGCUUGCUUUGCAUUAAACAUGUCUGCUUUGUUGUUGAACAAUUAUACACAGCUUUUUAUUGGACAAAAUUCUGUAAUAUUUCAAAUUUUUGCUUUCAAUUUUUCCAACAAAAAUAUAUUUUGUUUAUUUGUAUGUAUAUUUAGCUAUAAUAAAAUUGUUUCUAUAAUAUAUAAACAACCUAUUUAUAAGUAAUAAACUAUAUUGGUAAAAGUAGAUUUAAGGUUCAAAAUCAUGUCUUAAUUUGUUCGAUUUUCCCAAAUUAACAUUUUGCAAUAGCAAAACUUUUUGAAUAAAGAAAACUUUAUGCAACGUACCACCAGGUCUUUUAACCAUUGAUUGUGUAUAACUAACGAUCAGGACUUAAUCAGAAAUUAAUAAUUGCCUUUGCACGGUUAUAAUGUUUGUGUUAUUAAAUUGAAUAAUUUCUGUAGUUUGGUGCACAUUAAUUGUUGUUGUUUUUUUAAAGACAUAGCACAUGUCAUAGCACAUGUCAUAUAAUAUAAUAUCAUUGUAGUUUUGGUAUGUUUAGGGAUAUAAUCAUGUUAAUGUAUGUGAUUUGCUGAUCCAUUUCUUGUUGUUUCACUCCAUUUAAUGUAUAUAGCCAUGCAUAGAGCAGGAAUAUUGUUGUACUGUGAAAAAAAUGUUGUUAUAGCAAAUAAAUAAUGUAUGUUAAUUA